rnacentral:rRNA from 1 species
AUUGAACGCUGGCGGCAGGCCUAACACAUGCAAGUCGAACGAGCGGCGGACGGGUGAGUAAUGUCUGGGAAACUGCCUGAUGGAGGGGGAUAACUACUGGAAACGGUAGCUAAUACCGCAUACCAUCAGAUGUGCCCAGAUGGGAUUAGCGAGUAGGUUGGGUAAUGGCUCACCUAGGCGACGAUCCCUAGCUGGUCUGAGAGGAUGACCAGCCACACUGGACCUGAGAUACGGGCCAGUCUCCUACGGGAGGCAUCAGUGGGGAAUAUUGCACAAUGGGCGCAAGCCUGAUGCAGCAAUGCCGCGUGUAUGAAGAAGGCCUUCGGGUUGUAAAGUACUUUCAGCGGGGAGGCGUUACCCGCAGAAGAAGCACCGGCUAACUCCGUGCCAGCAGCCGCGGUAAUUC